CAGCCGCCGCGGGAAAACAGAGGGUGCAAGCGUUAAUCGGAAUUACUGGGCGUAAAGCGCGCGUAGGUGGUUCGCCAAGUUGGAUGUGAAAUCCCCGGGCUCAACCUGGGAACUGCAUCCAAAACUGGCGAGCUAGAGUAUGGUAGAGGGUGGUGGAAUUUCCUGUGUAGCGGUGAAAUGCGUAGAUAUAGGAAGGAACAUCAGUGGCGAAGGCGACCACCUGGACUGAUACUGACACUGAGGUGCGAAAGCGUGGGGAGCAAACAGGAUUAGAUACCCGCGUAGUCCCUGUCUCUUAUAC
rnacentral:rRNA from 1 species